rnacentral:rRNA from 1 species
GACGAACGCUGGCGGCGUGCCUAAUACAUGCAAGUCGAGCGAAGUUUUUCUGGUGCUUGCCCUAGAAAAACUUAGCGGCGAACGGGUGAGUAACACGUAAAGAACCUGCCUCAUAGACUGGGACAACUAUUGGAAACGAUAGCUAAUACCGGAUAACAGUAUUUCUCGCAUGAGAGAUAUUUAAAAGUUGGUUAUGCUAACACUAUGAGAUGGCUUUGCGGUGCAUUAGCUAGUUGGUGGGGUAAAGGCCCACCAAGGCGACGAUGCAUAGCCGACCUGAGAGGGUGAUCGGCCACACUGGAACUGAGACACGGCCCAGACUCCUACGGGAGGCAGCAGUAGGGAAUCUUCCGCAAUGGGCGAAAGCCUGACGGAGCAACGCCGCGUGAGUGAAGAAGGAUUUCGGUUCGUAAAGCUCUGUUGUUAGGGAAGAAUGGAUAUGUAGUAACUAUACAUGUAAGAGACGGUACCUAACCAGAAAGCCACGGCUAACUACGUG